AUUGAACGCUAGCGGCAUGCCUUACACAUGCAAGUCGAACGGCAGCGGGGGAGCUUGCUCCCGCCGGCGAGUGGCGAACGGGUGAGUAAUACAUCGGAACGUACCCAGUAGCGGGGGAUAGCCCGGCGAAAGCCGGAUUAAUACCGCAUACGCCCUACGGGGGAAAGGGGGGGAUCGCAAGACCUCUCACUAUUGGAGCGGCCGAUGGCUGAUUAGCUAGUUGGUGGGGUAAAGGCCUACCAAGGCGACGAUGGGUAGCCGGCCUGAGAGGGGGCACGGCCACACUGGCACUGAGAGACGGGCCAGACUCCGACGGGAGGCAGCAGUGGGGAAGUUUGCGCAAUGGGGGGAACCCUGACGCAGCAACGCCGCGUGAGUGAUGAAGGCCUGCGGGUCGUAAAGCUCUUUUAGUGGGGAAGAAUCCCACCCGGGCUAAUAUCUCGGGUGUCUGACGGUACCCACAGAAAAAGUUCCGGCUAACUACGUGCCAGCCGCCGCAGUAA
rnacentral:rRNA from 1 species